GGGCGCAUGGUUUAGUGGUAUAAUACCUCUUUAGCACCUGCCCACAGAAGCUGAAUUAGAGGUGGUCCUGGGUUCGAUUCCCAGUGCGUCCA
rnacentral:tRNA from 1 species